GUAAAGCGCGCGUAGGUGGCUAAUUAAGUCAAAUGUGAAAUCCCCGAGCUUAACUUGGGAAUUGCAUUCGAUACUGGUUAGCUAGAGUAUGGGAGAGGAUGGUAGAAUUCCAGGUGUAGCGGUGAAAUGCGUAGAGAUCUGGAGGAAUACCGAUGGCGAAGGCAGCCAUCUGGCCUAAUACUGACACUGAGGUGCGAAAGCAUGGGGAGCAAACAGGAUUAGAUACCCUGGUAGUCCAUGCCGUAAACGAUGUCUACUAGCCGUUGGGGCCUUUGAGGCUUUAGUGGCGCAGCUAACGCGAUAAGUAGACCGCCUGGGGAGUACGGCCGCAAGACUAAAACUCAAAUGAAUUGACGGGGGCCCGCACAAGCGGUGGAGCAUGUGGUCUAAUUCGAUGCAACGCGAAGAACCUUACCUGGCCUUGACAUACAGAGAACUUUCCAGAGAUGGAUUGGUGCCUUCGGGAACUCUGAUACAGGUGCUGCAUGGCUGUCGUCAGCUCGUGUCGUGAGAUGUUGGGUUAAGUCCCGCAACGAGCGCAACCCUUUUCCUUACUUGCCAGCAUUUCGGAUGGGAACUUUAAGGAUACUGCCAGUGACAAACUGGAGGAAGGCGGGGACGACGUCAAGUCAUCAUGGCCCUUACGGCCAGGGCUACACACGUGCUACAAUGGUCGGUACAAAGGGUUGCUACACAGCGAUGUGAUGCUAAUCUCAAAAAGCCGAUCGUAGUCCGGAUUGGAGUCUGCAACUCGACUCCAUGAAGUCGGAAUCGCUA
rnacentral:rRNA from 1 species